CCCUUAGAUGCUCUGGGCCGCACGCGCGCUACACUGGUCGAUGCAACGAGUUUCUUUCCUUGGCCGACAGGCCUGGGCAAUCUUUGAACAUCGAUCGUGAUCGGGAUAGAUUCUUGUAAUUUUUGAUCUUAAACGAGGAAUUCCUAGUAAACGCAAGUCAUCAGCUUGCAUUGAUUACGUCCCUGCCCUUUGUACACACCGCCCGUCGCACCUACCGAUUGAAUGGUCCGGUGAAAUCUCCGGACUGGCGUGAGUCGGAGCAAUCCGACAAACACCGGAAAGUUGAUUAAACCUUACCAUUUAGAGGAAGGUGAAGUCGUAACA
rnacentral:rRNA from 1 species